rfam:Canis lupus familiaris chromosome 3, whole genome shotgun sequence.
GCCUGGGUGGCUCAGCGGUGGAGCAUCUGCCUUUGACUCAGGGUGUGAUCCCAGGAUCCUGGGAUCAAGUCCCACACCAGGUU